rnacentral:rRNA from 1 species
GGUUAAGCGACUAAGCGUACACGGUGGAUGCCCUGGCAGUCAGAGGCGAUGAAGGACGUGCUAAUCUGCGAAAAGCGUCGGUAAGGUGAUAUGAACCGUUAUAACCGGCGAUGUCCGAAUGGGGAAACCCAGUGCAAUUCGUUCACACUAUCGUUAACUGAAUACAUAGGUUAACGAGGCGAACCGGGGGAACUGAAACAUCUAAGUACCCCGAGGAAAAGAAAUCAACCGAGAUUCCCCCAGUAGCGGCGAGCGAACGGGGAGCAGCCCAGAGUCUGAAUCAGCUUGUGUGUUAGUGGAACGGUCUGGAAAGUCCGACGGUACAGGGUGAUAGUCCCGUACACCAAAAUGCACAGGCUGUGAACUCGAAGAGUAGGGCGGGACACGUGGUAUCCUGUCUGAAUAUGGGGGGACCAUCCUCCAAGGCUAAAUACUCCUGACUGACCGAUAGUGAACCAGUACCGUGAGGGAAAGGCGAAAAGAACCCCGGCGAGGGGAGUGAAAAAGAACCUGAAACCGUGUACGUACAAGCAGUGGGAGCACCUUCGGGUGUGACUGCGUACCUUUUGUAUAAUGGGUCAGCGACUUAUAUUCUGUAGCAAGGUUAACCGUAUAGGGGAGCCGCAGGGAAACCGAGUCUUAACUGGGCGUUAAGUUGCAGGGUAUAGACCCGAAACCCGGUGAUCUAGCCAUGGGCAGGUUGAAGGUUGGGUAACACUAACUGGAGGACCGAACCGACUAAUGUUGAAAAAUUAGCGGAUGACUUGUGGCUGGGGGUGAAAGGCCAAUCAAACCGGGAGAUAGCUGGUUCUCCCCGAAAGCUAUUUAGGUAGCGCCUCGUGAACUCAUCUUCGGGGGUAGAGCACUGUUUCGGCUAGGGGGUCAUCCCGACUUACCAACCCGAUGCAAACUACGAAUACCGAAGAAUGUUAUCACGGGAGACACACGGCGGGUGCUAACGUCCGUCGUGAAGAGGGAAACAACCCAGACCGCCAGCUAAGGUCCCAAAGUCAUGGUUAAGUGGGAAACGAUGUGGGAAGGCACAGACAGCCAGGAUGUUGGCUUAGAAGCAGCCAUCAUUUAAAGAAAGCGUAAUAGCUCACUGGUCGAGUCGGCCUGCGCGGAAGAUGUAACGGGGCUAAACCAUGCACCGAAGCUGCGGCAGCGACACUAUGUGUUGUUGGGUAGGGGAGCGUUCUGUAAGCCUGCGAAGGUGUGCUGUGAGGCAUGCUGGAGGUAUCAGAAGUGCGAAUGCUGACAUAAGUAACGAUAAAGCGGGUGAAAAGCCCGCUCGCCGGAAGACCAAGGGUUCCUGUCCAACGUUAAUCGGGGCAGGGUGAGUCGACCCCUAAGGCGAGGCCGAAAGGCGUAGUCGAUGGGAAACAGGUUAAUAUUCCUGUACUUGGUGUUACUGCGAAGGGGGGACGGAGAAGGCUAUGUUAGCCGGGCGACGGUUGUCCCGGUUUAAGCAUGUAGGCUGGUUAUCCAGGCAAAUCCGGAUAAUCAAGGCUGAGGUGUGAUGACGAGGCACUACGGUGCUGAAGUAACAAAUGCCCUGCUUCCAGGAAAAGCCUCUAAGCAUCAGGUAACAUCAAAUCGUACCCCAAACCGACACAGGUGGUCAGGUAGAGAAUACCAAGGCGCUUGAGAGAACUCGGGUGAAGGAACUAGGCAAAAUGGUGCCGUAACUUCGGGAGAAGGCACGCUGGUGUGUAGGUGAAGUCCCUGCGGAUGGAGCUGAGACCAGUCGAAGAUACCAGCUGGCUGCAACUGUUUAUUAAAAACACAGCACUGUGCAAACACGAAAGUGGACGUAUACGGUGUGACGCCUGCCCGGUGCCGGAAGGUUAAUUGAUGGGGUUAUCCGUAAGGAGAAGCUCUUGAUCGAAGCCCCGGUAAACGGCGGCCGUAACUAUAACGGUCCUAAGGUAGCGAAAUUCCUUGUCGGGUAAGUUCCGACCUGCACGAAUGGCGUAAUGAUGGCCAGGCUGUCUCCACCCGAGACUCAGUGAAAUUGAACUCGCUGUGAAGAUGCAGUGUACCCGCGGCAAGACGGAAAGACCCCGUGAACCUUUACUAUAGCUUGACACUGAACAUUGAGCCUUGAUGUGUAGGAUAGGUGGGAGGCUUUGAAGCGUGGACGCCAGUCUGCGUGGAGCCAACCUUGAAAUACCACCCUUUAAUGUUUGAUGUUCUAACGUUGGCCCCUGACCGGGGUUGCGGACAGUGUCUGGUGGGUAGUUUGACUGGGGCGGUCUCCUCCCAAAGCGUAACGGAGGAGCACGAAGGUUAGCUAAUCCUGGUCGGACAUCAGGAGGUUAGUGCAAUGGCAUAAGCUAGCUUGACUGCGAGCGUGACGGCGCGAGCAGGUGCGAAAGCAGGUCAUAGUGAUCCGGUGGUUCUGAAUGGAAGGGCCAUCGCUCAACGGAUAAAAGGUACUCCGGGGAUAACAGGCUGAUACCGCCCAAGAGUUCAUAUCGACGGCGGUGUUUGGCACCUCGAUGUCGGCUCAUCACAUCCUGGGGCUGAAGUAGGUCCCAAGGGUAUGGCUGUUCGCCAUUUAAAGUGGUACGCGAGCUGGGUUUAGAACGUCGUGAGACAGUUCGGUCCCUAUCUGCCGUGGGCGCUGGAGAAUUGGGGGGCUGCUCCUAGUACGAGAGGACCGGAGUGGACGCAUCACUGGUGUUCGGGUUGUCAUGCCAAUGGCACUGCCCGGUAGCUAAAUGCGGAAGAGAUAAGUGCUGAAAGCAUCUAAGCACGAAACUUGCCCCGAGAUGAGUUCUCCCUGAGACUUUAAGUCUCCUGAAGGAACGUUGAAGACGACGACGUUGAUAGGCCGGGUGUGUAAGCGCAGCGAUGCGUUGAGCUAACCGGUACUAAUGAACCGUGAGGCUUAACCUU